rnacentral:rRNA from 1 species
GACAUACCUCUGGUGUACCAGUUGUCGUGCCAACGGCAUAGCUGGGUAGCUAUGUAUGGACGGGAUAAGUGCUGAAAGCAUCUAAGCAUGAAGCCCCCCUCAAGAGGAGAUUUCCCAACUUCGGUUAUAAGAUCCCUCGAAGAUGACGAGGUUAAUAGGUUCGAGGUGGAAGCGUGGUGACACGUGGAGCUGACGAAUACUAAUCGAUCGAAGACUUAAUCAA